CUCCUUUUCUUCUCCGGCUCCGGCCCCGACUCCAGCUCCGGCCCCGGCUCCGGCUCCAGCUGAAGCCCAGUCCCCCUCCCCUGAGGCCCCCAGCCCCCCCAAAGCAGAGCCAGCACCAGUCAUAGACCUGCUGGUGGCCCAGGGUUGACCUUUAACCCCUUUCUGCCCCCAUGCUGCAUUGUGGAUCACCUCAGACUCCUUCAGCAGCCCUGUGGACGACGCCCAAAGCUCCGCCCCCGGAGGACCCGGAGACGACCUGCUGGGAGGCCUGAUGUCCCCCACCCUGGCCCCCACAGUGGCCCCGGUCCCUGCUCAGAACGACCUCCUGGAGUCCGGCUUCGAUGCUCUGGGGUCUCUUCCCUCCCCGACACCACCGGUUCCUGCUGCAGUUUCAGCCGUUCCUAUUGUUCCGGCCACAGCAACAGCAGAACCUGCAGCCGCCACCACCACAGCAGCAGCAGCGCCCUCUGGUGGCUUCGAUGCCUCAAUGUUUGAUGGAUUAGGCGACUUGCUGAUGCCCGCCGUGACGCCGCAGAGCACAGGAGGAAGCAUGGGAACCCCAGCGUCGGCGGGAGGCCUUCCAGCCGCCGCUCCGCCCGCCACCCCCCCGCCCACCAAAACCAUGGCAGGAGAUCUGGACUCGUCACUGGCCAACCUGGUCGGAGGUAGGCUGCAGCCGUUCUGCCCUGGAGGGGUUUAUUAG
rnacentral:lncRNA from 1 species